GUGGGGAAUAUUGGACAAUGGGGGGAACCCUGAUCCAGCCAUGCCGCGUGUGUGAAGAAGGCCUUUUGGUUGUAAAGCACUUUAAGCGAGGAGGAGGCUACCGAGAUUAAUACUCUUGGAUAGUGGACGUUACUCGCAGAAUAAGCACCGGCUAACUCUGUGCCAGCAGCCGCGGUAAUACAGAGGGUGCAAGCGUUAAUCGGAUUUACUGGGCGUAAAGCGCGCGUAGGUGGCCAAUUAAGUCAAAUGUGAAAUCCCCGAGCUUAACUUGGGAAUUGCAUUCGAUACUGGUUGGCUAGAGUAUGGGAGAGGAUGGUAGAAUUCCAGGUGUAGCGGUGAAAUGCGUAGAGAUCUGGAGGAAUACCGAUGGCGAAGGCAGCCAUCUGGCCUAAUACUGACACUGAGGUGCGAAAGCAUGGGGAGCAAACAGGAUUAGAAACCCGUGUAGCC
rnacentral:rRNA from 1 species